CACAACUUCUCUGGUCCACGAGCUCUGCUCCCCCUCUCCCUUCAUCUGUAGGUGCUUGCUCUCCCCCAUCGGCGACAAGCCGUGCCGGCCAGCCAUGGCAGCUCGUCGACUAGCUGGUGCUCCUCCGCCAUGGCAGCUCGUCAGUCCCAGCGUCACACGCAACACCCACUCCCUCUUUUUCUUCCCUCGGAGGUCCAUUGAGUCCCUGCUCAUUCGCGAACCCCGCGGACCGCGCCGGUGCUGAUGCUGCCGCCGACGGCCACCCGCUGCUGCUAUCACGUUGUAGCAAGCUCCCCACCAAGUGGGCGAACGAGUUGCUGGAACCGGCCUCAAUGGGAGCAACAAUCAGCGGCAAUUUUUGCUACAAGUGGGUUUUUGUUUUGCUGGAAUCAGUAACUUUUUUCUAGAAUCUCUAAUUGAGGGUGUUUGUUGCUGGAACCAACUUUAAUUUUGCUACCACCGUAUACAUUUUUUGCUACCACCAUAUAUGUUCUUUGCUACUACCUUUUUUCAAUUUUCGCUUUUUUGCUGGAUCCAUCUCUUUUUGCUGAAACCAGUUUCAAUUUUUUUGCUACCACCGUCCUACUUUUUUGAUUUUUUGCUGGAACCAGCGAAUUAUUUUGCUACAUCCAACAUUGAUUUUUGCUGGAACCAGUCGACCGUCAGCUACCACCGCCGGCGCGACAGAGCUACAAACAUGGUGGGAAAAUGCUACAACCGGCAUAUAAAUUCGCUACGGGGGGCAUUUUUAUUUGCUGGAACUAGUCGAGCGCCGAUGCGACGGAGCUGCAUCCAGCAACAUAAUUUGCUACAUCCAUCAUCUAUUUUUGUUUGAACCAACACCAGCUCGGAUGGCCACACGACAUCAUCGGAGUUACUACCAUGGGCAGCUCGGGAUGCUGCAACCGGCGGCCGAGGUUGCCAUGACCACGCCCACAACGCUACGAACGACUACAUGAUGCUUGGGAAGACGACAUCUCCUUACUGCAUCGGACGCAGCAGGCCUGCUUGCAAUGAGGGCGACCUGUUGAAGGACAAGAGCAGAUAGCCGGCGAGCGCGGGCGGCCGGGGCGAUGAGCGCGGGUGGCCGGGGCGAUGAGUGCGGGUGUGCUGUUGGCCAGCAAGGACGGGCAGCCAAGGACGAGCACCGGCAGCGGCGAGCGUGGAGUCUGCCAUGGAUGGGAGCUGUUGGUCAACGCAGAGCCAGAUGCGAAGAGGAGAAGCUAAUAGGGGGAAAUUAACGGUUGGAGGUGGCCUAAUCCUACGGCUGGGGGCCGACCGGCCGACGCCGGCGCCUAGCAGUCGCCUUACAUAAAACGUUUCGUAAAGCAAAAGCAGCAGCGACAUGCAACAGGCCAAGGAUCAGCGACUGGACAUGCCCCGUUCGCCGCCCGCCCAUGGCUGGACCAAAUUAAAUAUAGAUGGGAGCUACAUCAAUGAAACAACGGCGGCUGGUGGUGGAAUGGUGCUACGUGGCGACACCGGUUCUAUUAUCUUUACUGCAUGCAGGCAGAUCACCACAUGUGAUGACGGACUAGAGGCAGAGCUCAUGGCGUGCAGAGAAGGCCUUGAUCUUGCUCUUCAUCGGACCGGAUUACCCAUUACGGUCGAGUUCGACUGCGCUCAGGCAGUCUUGAUGCUAAAUACGAGUCAUGGGUACCGCUCUCCAUAUAGGACUCUUGUGUGUGACAUUCAGUUACUGAUUUCUGAGAACCCAUGGGAGAUUUCAA